rnacentral:rRNA from 1 species
GUCGCUACUACCGAUUGAAUGAUUUAGUGAGCUGCGGGGACUGCCGCCUCUGAUCGGGCAACCUUUCUUUGGUGAUGGGAACCGCUACAAACUUGACCAUUUAGAGGAAGUAA